GUUCAAUGGCAACGUUGGUCCACUUGGAACGACGUUACCAUCUCACAAUCUGGCCUCUCAGAUUGUGAGAUGGUAACAUUUAGUCCUCCCAUUGUUUUGCAUUGGCGUGUUCUCACGUCACGUGACUCUCAAGCUCCCGUCUGCGGAGAGGAAAACAUGGCGGAGAUUCCUUGUUUUUUCAGAUAAAAAUAUAAUUUUGUAACUUAGUUUGGGCAUAAAAAUACAUUCUGACACCAUUUCUAGCGAGAAAUGUGCUCUUUGCUUCCACAGUCUUCAGCCAGUUCGUGCUUAUGAUAAAUAUUUUAAUAGUUAUCACGCAUGUUUUUAUCGUUGCUAUGACGGUUGCCAUGCCACCACGGCGCAGCUUGGUGUUUAAAUCACAGUCCCUGCGUGGUGUCCUUCAGUGAUCGUGAAUGUUAUUCAUGUUAUAUAAUAGUAAUAUUUGAGGCUAGAUUACAUCUCUAAUGAGAAGGAUCCUGCGAGUCUGUUCAUACCGAGGCCGGCCCUAGUGCGCGACCGGACCGAGUGCGCGAGCGGACAUGACGUGUGGCUGUCGUAAAAACCCUAUUUGUAAACAACCAGUCCUUUAACUCAGCACUUCGUCAUAAACACGGCGCGCUUGGAAGACCACGAUGUCAUUCUCCUUCUGUCAGGUAAGUAGUUUAUUAUUUUUAAAGAUCGUUACGAUCUAGGUUUACAGUCCGAGUGCGGAGAGAGUCCGUCAAUCCACACUAUGGACGCUGUUCAUCAGCUAAUACGCCAUUGUUAGCCACAUGCUUCAGCCCACGGUAGCCUGUGCUACCUGGGAGGUGAAUACAUGGUUGUUGAAACCAGUUCAAGACGCUUAGCUCAUCAUUGAGGGACGCUACAAUAUAAAUAUAAACAUGAAUUUGAUUUAUGAAUGCUUUAGAUUAAUAAGGAGUGUAUUUCUCUACUAUUACUCCACAAUAUCAGGUCAAUUUGGUUUAAUGUAUAGUAUGCACUAUGACAAUAAUGUUUCCAUGUUAUGGAGUUGCGAUUCAUUUUAUAAAACAAUUGCUAUGUUCUGUUUUUUAAUCAAGGAGGAUCCAAGUGAAGCUACAGGAGUUUCAUUAACGUCAAUAACUUGGACCGAACAGUUUGUUUUGCUUGAUGAAGAGCAGGAAGGGCAGCCUGGAGAGAAAGAGAAGCCGGGUUGAGCCCACUACCAUCAUCCAUGUACCACAAGGAAGAUGAGGGAGAGAAAUGAUCCUACCAUUAAAGAGACUGUGAAAAGAACGUUGAGAACAUCACCACUCUACAGGAAGACACAGUCCAGUAAUGGGUGUCAGAAUUUCAGUAGUGAACGACAGGUACUGUGGAAAAAUGUGUGUCAUUGUUGUACAAUGUCCUUUGACUCUGUUUACACAAGGUUAACACAAAAAGGUUUGAUUGUAAACUGAUAUUGGUAUGAAUUCAUGUUAUUCUCCUCUUCACAAGAAACAAACAAUCCAAAUUACCUGCAGAACACCCUUGAUGGACGCUUCAGCUGCAUCGUCAGACUGGCCAGACAGCAAGAUGCCAACUUUAAUGCCAAUUUAUUUGUGUAACAUUCUGUGACCAAAUGUAUAGAUAACUUUUUGUAGAUUGUAAAAAAGAUAACCCAUUUAUUAAAAAAAAACUACACUAGAAUUACCGCACUGCGUUGUAUGACUCCGCUAACCAGUGCAGUGUCCGUCUACAUAUUUCUACAUAUUUUCUCUCGUAUAAAUGACACUGUGUCUCUUGACAACUGAAACCAUAAGAUGAGGUCAGUGUGGCCUUGACCUUUUGACUUUAACACAAAUACACAGUUAGACAAUCCGAAAACAUACAGUUAUGCCAAAAUAUAUUUUGUUUCACAUUCUAGAUGGCAUAAGCAGAGACAUCAACUCAGGAAAAAUAUUUCUGUAGAAAAGAAAGCCCUGUACGUGUGUACGUAUGUAUACAUACACACGUACAAACGCACUAUUGAGACGUUUUGUUUUUUAUCAUAUAUUCUCAGGAAGGACUGAUGCAUUUACUGAGACGGGACGUGAGGGCCUACUCUGCGUGGUCAGAGUUCAAGCCCAGCAGGCUGCAGCGGUCCUGACAUAUUCUGGAACAGCAGCACAGUCUUUGGAUGACUCCUCUGAAGAUGAAAACAUGGCGAGUUCUUCUCAAGAGAAGCAGUACAGGUGUGCCUCAGCUCCACGGUCCCUCCUGCAGCCUCCGCUCCUGAUGCUAACCUCAUGUCUCCAUCACACCAAGCAGCAGACCUGGAUUGACAGACCUUUCUCCAGAGCUGCCCCCUCCCUCUGAAACCCCCCUCUCCAAAACACUAUUUGUGUAGUUUUUAAAGUAUUUUUUGCAUGAGAAUUGUUGAUCAUAACAUUUCCAGCAGAUGCCUUAAUGUAAUGUUUGUGCACAAUA